UACGGAGGGUGCAAGCGUUAUCCGGAUUCACUGGGUUUAAAGGGCGCGCAGGCGGAUUUGUAAGUCAGUGGUGAAAGGCUUAAGCUUAACUUGGGAACUGCCAUUGAUACUAUAAGUCUUGAAUGUUGUUGAGGUUUGCUGAAUGGGUCAUGUAGCGGUGAAAUGCAUAGAUAUGACCCGGAACACCUAUUGCGAAGGCAGCAGGCUAAACAAAUAUUGACGCUGAGGCUCGAAAGCGUGGGGAUCAAACAGG
rnacentral:rRNA from 1 species